rnacentral:sRNA from 1 species
UGUUGUGUGAAAAAUGGUUGCUGCAAC